GACGAACGCUGGCGGCGUGCUUAACACAUGCAAGUCGAACGGUAAGGCCCCUUCGGGGGUACACGAGUGGCGAACGGGUGAGUAACACGUGGGUAAUCUGCCCUGCACUUCGGGAUAAGCCUGGGAAACCGGGUCUAAUACCGGAUAUGAACUCCUGCCGCAUGGUGGGGGUUGGAAAGUUUUUCGGUGCAGGAUGAGCCCGCGGCCUAUCAGCUUGUUGGUGGGGUAAUGGCCUACCAAGGCGACGACGGGUAGCCGGCCUGAGAGGGUGAUCGGCCACACUGGGACUGAGACACGGCCCAGACUCCUACGGGAGGCAGCAGUGGGGAAUAUUGCACAAUGGGCGAAAGCCUGAUGCAGCGACGCCGCGUGGGGGAUGACGGUCUUCGGAUUGUAAACCCCUUUCAGUAGGGACGAAGCGCAAGUGACGGUACCUGCAGAAGAAGCACCGGCUAACUACGUGCCAGCAGCCGCCGUAA
rnacentral:rRNA from 1 species